rnacentral:rRNA from 1 species
CCUACGGGAGGCAGCAGUGGGGAAUAUUGGGCAAUGGGCGCAAGCCUGACCCAGCAAUGCCGCGUGAAGGAAGAAGGCUUUCGGGUUGUAAACUUCUUUGACAGGGGAAGAGCAGAAGACGGUACCCUGAAAACAAGCCACGGCUAACUACGUGCCAGCAGCCGCGGUAAUACGUAGGUGGCAAGCGUUGUCCGGAUUUACUGGGUGUAAAGGGCGUGUAGCCGGGAAGGCAAGUCAGAUGUGAAAUCUGGAGGCUCAACCUCCAAAUUGCAUUUGAAACUGUUUUUCUUGAGUACUGGAGAGGCAGACGGAAUUCCUUGUGUAGCGGUGAAAUGCGUAGAUAUAAGGAGGAACACCAGUGGCGAAGGCGGUCUGCUGGACAGCAACUGACGGUGAGGCUCGAAAGCGUGGGGAGCAAACAGGAUUAGAUACCCCGAUAGUC